AAUGAAGCGCAGACAUCUCCCUCAGAAAGUAUGGUGAGAAUUAAGUGGCAUCUGUACUAUGUCCACCUCCUGUCAGACACAGAGUGAGGACUCAGUUGGCCAGGAGUGGCAUGGAAAAGGAGGAGAGCUGCAGAAGGAGGAAGAGUGGGGAGCAGGCGGGGAAAGGCUCUGGGAUCCCAUAUGUUGUGUUUGAGUUGAUGACAAAUCACCAAGGUGCAAAUAUUCAGCAGUCAGCUUUGCAAGAGCUAAGCUAAAUACCCAAUAAACAGAAAGGAUUUAUAAAGCUUUGGCCUCCACCACGGCAGUGCACCCAGCAGGGAGGAGCUGAUAUUGAGAAGUGGGCGGCUGAAGACAGAACACCGAGUGGAGACCCCUCAGCAUGGAGUUGAGUUUAAAGCCCCGCCAUGCGCCCUGUGAAGACUUCGGUUUCCUGGUCUAUAAAAUGAGGAAGUGGGGGUGAGGGAGGGGGAAAAGAUAACUGAGAUACAUUAUGUGCAUGUACCAAUCCCUUACAGUGAGUGUAAUCAUUAUGUACCACAACAUAUACUAAUAAAAGUAAAAAAAGAAAAAAUGGACAAAGAAUAAGAAAGAGUCAGAUUCUUUGGUCUGUGGCUCUAAUCGCCCUCUAAUCCUCUAGGUUUGCAUGAUCCAAUCACUGCUGCUAUGAGGAUGGUUCUUAGCUUACCUCUGAAUUAGCAGCCACAGCCCCUUAAUGCUCAGCCAUUGCUGGCGCUUGGCUAUGUAACAAGCGUUCCUUAUAAAAUCCUUCUCUUUCAGCCUCUACUUCAAAGCAGAUAUCCCCCAAAUACUAGAUUAUUACCUGCUCCUGUCAUCCCCCAUAUUUGGUUUCCUUUGUGUUUUGUCACCCAGUAGCCCAACCUAAAUAGGUAGAGGUUGCAUGAAAGGAAGAAAAGAAAUUUUUUAAAGUCAGAGCUCAGCUGUAGAUCAGUGGUUGCAAUUUGACCCCCAAGCAAGGCUGUGCUUCUGGAAGAACUAAGAUUUGUUGGUUUCAACACAGGAAGAUGUAAAAUGGGCUGUUAUCGC
rnacentral:lncRNA from 1 species